UACAUAGGGGGCGAGCGUUAUCCGGAAUUACUGGGUGUAAAGGGAGCGCAGACGGAUGUGCAAGUCUGAAGUGAAACCCCACGGCUCAACUGUGGGCUUGCUUUGGAAACUGUACAUCUGGAGUACUGGAGAGGCAAGCGGGAUUCCUGGUGUAGCGGUGUAAUGCGUAGAUAUCAGGAGGAACACCGGAGGCGAAGGCGGCUUGCUGGACAGAUACUGACGUUGAGGCUCGAAGGCGUGGGGAGCAAAC
rnacentral:rRNA from 1 species